rnacentral:lncRNA from 1 species
AGCUCCAGUUCGCACUCGAGAGAGCUCUGCUGGGUGUCUGCUGCUGUUCCGCGGCGGGAACGUGUGGGGGCAACAACCUGGCGCUCCAGCGAUUCUCCACGCCUUAGUUAGGAAUCUAAGCAAACCCUCGCUAGGGUCCCUGGGCUUAAGACGACUUCUCCCACAAGGAUUGGGUGGAGGAAGGAGCCGAGCCCGAUCUUCUGUUUGUUUGUUGAGUUUUGUAUUUCAGACAUUUAGGGGAAGCAAAUUGCGAGAAAGGAAGGGCUGUCUUCCCUGCAAACGUUUCCCUCUCCUAGCAAACCCUCCAGGCCUCGGUUCCACAUUUUGCAGUUGACUCUCUGGAUUUUAAUAGGUUGUUCCCUUGUCCUCGGGCCCAAUCCAUGCACGCUGUGCAGCCGGAUAAAAUGGGAGCACAUCCUCUGCCAUUUUCAGCCGGUUUGUCCUGGCAGCCCUGCCCCCUU